rnacentral:lncRNA from 1 species
GGAACCUUAAAUUAUAAUUUGUUUACUCGGACUUGUGGAUUCAAAGACUACCAAUAUUAACUACACUUAAGUAUAAACAGGUUAUGAGGAUAAAAGCAAAAGAGUGGACUAACCCUGCAGAACUUAUAAAAAUAAGGGUCCGUGAGUGGUUACUACUAGAAUCAGUAUCAACUGUGUUUGUAUGACCUCUUGAGUUGCUUUGAGUAGAU